GAUGAACGCUGGCGGCGUGCCUAAUACAUGCAAGUCGAGCGAACGGACGAGAAGCUUGCUUCUCUGAUGUUAGCGGCGGACGGGUGAGUAACACGUGGAUAACCUACCUAUAAGACUGGGAUAACUUCGGGAAACCGGAGCUAAUACCGGAUAAUAUUUUGAACCGCAUGGUUCAAAAGUGAAAGACGGUCUUGCUGUCACUUAUAGAUGGAUCCGCGCUGCAUUAGCUAGUUGGUAAGGUAACGGCUUACUAAGGCAACGAUGCAUAGCCGACCUGAGAGGGUGAUCGGCCACACUGGAACUUAGACACGGUCCAGACUCCUACGGGAGGGAGCAGUAGGGAAUCUUACGCAAUGGGCGGAAGCCUGACGCAGCAACGCCGCGUGAGUGAUGAAGGUCUUCGGAUCGUAAAACUCUGUUAUUAGGGAUGAACAUAUGUGUAAGUAACUGUGCACAUAUUGACGGUACCUAAUCAGAAAGCCACGGCUAACUACGUG
rnacentral:rRNA from 1 species